ACGGGUGAGUAACACGUGGGGAUCUGCCCUGAAGACUGGGACAACCCGAGGAAACUCGGGCUAAUACCGGAUGAUACUCUGAGGAGGAAAGGCUAGGUCGUAAGAUCUGGCGCUUUAGGAGGAACCUGCGUCCGAUUAGCUAGUUGGUUAGGUAAAGGCUGACCAAGGCGAUGAUCGGUAGCUGGUCUGAGAGGAUGAUCAGCCACACUGGGACUGAGACACGGCCCAGACUCCUACGGGAGGCAGCAGUGGGGAAUAUUGGACAAUGGGGGCAACCCUGAUCCAGCAAUGCCGCGUGUGUGAAGAAGGCCUUCGGGUUGUAAAGCACUUUAGUUGGGGAAGAAGGUUUAUUGUUUAAGAGAUGGUAAAUUUGACGGUACCCAAAGAAUAAGCACCGGCUAACUCUGUGCCAGCAGCCGCGGUAAUACAGAGGGUGCGAGCGUUAAUCGGAAUUACUGGGCGUAAAGGGCGCGUAGGCGGUUGUGUAAGUGAAUUGUGAAAUACCUGGGCUUAACCUGGGACUUGCAAUUUAUACUGCACAGCUGGAGUACUGUAGAGGGUAGUGGAAUUUCCGG
rnacentral:rRNA from 1 species